UACGUAGGGGGCAAGCGUUGUCCGGAGUUACUGGGCGUAAAGCGUGCGCAGGCGGUUAUGUAAGACAGGUGUGAAAUCCCCGGGCUUAACCUGGGAACUGCAUUUGUGACUGCAUAGCUAGAGUACGGCAGAGGGGGAUGGAAUUCCGCGUGUAGCAGUGAAAUGCGUAGAUAUGCGGAGGAACACCGAUGGCGAAGGCAAUCCCCUGGGCCUGUACUGACGCUCAUGCACGAAAGCGUGGGGAGCAAACAGG
rnacentral:rRNA from 1 species